CUUCAUGUUUUUCCACAGCUUUCUUGAACUUUUUAGUUUCACUUGCCUUGGAUUUCUUCUUGGGAUUGUGAUAAAAAAGCUCAAGAAAGUUGUGGGAGGACAUGAAGG
rfam:Helianthus annuus linkage group 4, whole genome shotgun sequence.